GGGUAUAGAACCGUUACAGGACCAAGUAGGCCAUCCUCUGUUACUUAUGCAGCUGGAACCACCACGGUGUGUACUCUCUGGGCUCAAGGAACCCCCACAAAAGAAGACAUGGAAAGAGUAAGAGCCAGAGGCUCAGAAUACACCAUGAAAAGAAGACCCUCUAAAUGAACAUGAGCAAAACUCCUGUGAUCUCACAGAGACUGAGGCGGCAGCACAGGGCCUGCACAGGGCUACAGCAGAUCCUCUGCAUAUGGACUGUGGCUUCCAGGUGCACCAUGAUUAUGGAGGAGAUCAAGCAAUGGUCUAUUACAGAAUGCAAAAUAUGAAUGGAAGCCAAACAAGUGAACAAAGACCAUUUCAGUUCAAAGACAAGGAAGAUGCAAAAAGAUCUGAUGUUGUAGAAGUUGCAGAAGUACUUGAAAGGGAAUCAAGAGGAUCACCACUAUAUGAAAGGAAAUAGAACCAAGCUGUGUUAGUGUUCAACAGGACAAAGAAAAACUCCUAAAGAAGUAAAAAAGAAAGGUGACCCAUGUAGAAGGGUUGGUAAACCCCAGAGGAGUCACGACUCACAGGAGAAAUGUAACCAUGUGGAUAGUUACAACUCCUUCACCAAAGAAGCUUCUUAUACAACAAAAUGGAGACUACUGACCAAUAUCACAACUGGACACAAUGAAGAAAUCAGUGAUUAUGGGGAAGCCAGCAACAAUAGAUAUAUCUAAAAAUAUUUUAUACUCAUAAAAAAACAUGGUUUUUCCAUAUGUGACCAUAAUGUGGUAUAUUUAAAAAUAUUUCAAGACUGUAUCUUAUUAUAUAUAAAUACAUAUAUUAAGUAUGUUAUUAUCAAUGCCUUUAAAGUCCUAAAAUAUGCAAGCAAAUUAAACCCCAAAUACGUCUGGUA